AAAAAAAAAAAUAAAAAAAUAAUAAAAAAUUAAAAAAAAAAAAAGAAUAUAUUUCAAUUUUGUUAGGUAGGAUGUCAUUUUGCUUGGCCUUGUUUUUGAGCUUAUUAAGGAUCGUAGUUUACACUAAUUUCUGGCGUGUUUUUGAAGUUUAAAUGUUAGCUUAAUUGUUUUAUUGGAAAUACUAAAUUAUUCAAUAUACUUGUAGAGGAAUUACUUGAGAUGGGUUUAGUGCAGCUAUUGUACCAACCACUGGCAUUGUCUAUCAGUGAGUAGUGUAUCUGCCCCAAUAUGUGUUUGUUUGCCCUUUGUAUUAUGAACUUAGUUAAUAUAUACAGCGGACAUAGUUUUUCCCAAGUUCUUUAGUAUCCCUUCGCACCAUUGAGUAAUCAAGACGAUAGAAAAAAAUGGGGUAGUCGAUGUUUUGUUCUGUGUGAUUAAUGUUCUAUUUGUGUGAGGAGCCUCACCUCACCUCACCUCACCUCACCUCACAUACCAUCAGUUUUGUUUUUGUUUUUGUUUUGGUGUUGGGUGUGUUGUGUUCAUGAGUGCUGCUUUUAUCACUAUGCCAUUACAAACAGUGACUUGAUUAUUUUACCAUGUCACUCCAUUAUUUCCUUCUUGUCUGGUCAUAUUAAAUGCUUACUUGUAUGGCAUUAUGAUAUUUAUCCAGUCUAUUCUAUGCUUGGUUUUUAAAUUCUCCAAGAGAAUACUAUAUUUGCCAGACAUAUUUGGUAGCCAGAUGCUCGAAACUGAUAGCAUUGAAGGAAUGAUAAAACUCUGUUUCCAGAUGAGUGGUUUAUUACUUCAUUUGUGUAGUGAUCCUUGAUUGCUUGUUGAACACGAACCAUGUCAAUUGCAUAGAACGCUAUUUGAUGGAAUAAAAGCCUAUAUUAUUUCAGUUUUUGUGCAUGUCUUUGUGCUUCCUAGCUGUACUGUUAAAUUAGCUUCAAAUUUGCUGGAUAGCUGUGCGUUGGUUGGUUCUGGUAUUGGCACAAUUUCCCCUCUAUUACAGUUUGUCUAUAAGGGUGGGGGUAUCCUUGAAUAUUUUGCCUGGAGUGGAACAGCCUUGGAAGUUGGAAUGUUCCAAAGGGAUUGGCUUUUAUAAGAAUUAUGAACCCCUAAACUACCACUACCCUUUUUUUUCUUUUAUUUUUUAUUUUUUUUAUUGUAUAUAAUUACGAGUUCAAACUUCUUUAGUUUUAACUAGUUCCAACCAAAUAGAAAUGAUACUCUAAUCAGUUUUCUGAUGGUGGCCUUUUUGACUUUUAUCGUCCCAAAUGGCUAAAUCAUGGAUUUGCGAUAUGUCCUUUACUUAAGGCCCUUUCCCUAACAUUUGAAUGC
rnacentral:misc_RNA from 1 species